GCUCAAGCUGCUGAUCAGACUUCUAACCCCUUGCUCUCCAGUCACUCUGGCCUUGGUGAGAAAAGAAAACUUAUGGCAGUAAUGAGCUUACCUUGCAGGACCUCCAGUCUGCAGAUCGCCAGCCCACUGCAUGAAGUUCACUGCCCUGGACCAGAAGGCAAGGAGGAGCUGAUCAUCCCUAUCUCCGAGUCACUUCCGCAACCUAUACAAUCCACCAUUGUGCUGAAGGGAGCCUGGGCUCCCCCUCCUAUUUCACACCCUCUCUGCCCUGCUGGACAAUAAGCGAAACCAAAGUAGCAACCAUGCUCUGAUCAUCAGUGAUCUCCACACCCAGCACAGCCCUAGCCCAUAUCAGAGGCUUCAUUAUUGAGUGAAUGAAUGAAGCAAUGAAGGAAGAGGAGGAAAGAAAUACUCAGUGAAUUCUACGUCAACUGAAGUCAACUCCUGCAGAACCCAACCAAGGACACCAAGAGAAAAGAGAUCAGAAGCAGGGUACAGGAAUUCCCAUCGUGGCUCAGUGGUUAAUGAACCCAACUAGUAUCCAUGAGGAUGUGGGUUCGAUCCCUGGCCUCAAUCAGUUGGUUAAGGAUCCGGCGUUGCUGUGAGCUGUAGUGUAGAUCACAGGCUCAGAUCAGAUCCCUCGUUGAUGUGGCUGUGGUGUAGGCCUGCAGCUACAGCUCCAAUUUGACCCCUAGCCUGGGAUACAUGCCUCCAGUGUGGCCCUAAAAAGACAGAGAAAAAAAAAAAGGCAAAUAAUGUGUCAGUACCGAGCCUCAUGAAAGUGUUUCAGAGAAAUCCCCACCCCACACCCAGGGUUUCUGGAACCACACUUUGAGAACUGCUGAAUUAAGAUAUAGAUCAUGUGGGAGUUCCUGCUGUGGCACAGUGGGUUAAGAA
rnacentral:lncRNA from 1 species